rnacentral:tRNA from 1 species
GGCCUUGUAGCUCAGUUGGUAGAGCGUACGCUGUGCAAAAGCGUAGGCAGCGUCCAUGUGUGGGUUCGAAUCCCAUGGAGGCUA